AGUGAACGCUGGCGGUAGGCCUAACACAUGCAAGUCGAACGGCAGCACAGUAAGAGCUUGCUCUUACGGGUGGCGAGUGGCGGACGGGUGAGGAAUACAUCGGAAUCUACUUUUUCGUGGGGGAUAACGUAGGGAAACUUACGCUAAUACCGCAUACGACCUACGGGUGAAAGCAGGGGAGCUUCGGACCUUGCGCGACUGAAUGAGCCGAUGUCGGAUUAGCUAGUUGGCGUGGUAAAGGCCCACCAAGGCGACGAUCCGUAGCUGGUCUGAGAGGAUGAUCAGCCACACUGGAACUGAGACACGGUCCAGACUCCUACGGGAGGCAGCAGUGGGGAAUAUUGGACAAUGGGCGCAAGCCUGAUCCAGCCAUACCGCGUGGGUGAAGAAGGCCUUCGGGUUGUAAAGCCCUUUUGUUGGGAAAGAAAAGCAGCAGGUUAAUACCCCGCUGUUCUGACGGUACCCAAAGAAUAAGCACCGGCUAACUUCGUG
rnacentral:rRNA from 1 species